UGCUUCGGCGGGUAGGGUCUCCGCGACCCUCCCGGCCUCCCGCCUCCGGGCGGGUCGGCGCCCGCCGGAGGAUAACCAAACUCUGAUUUAACGACGUUUCUUCUGAGUGGUACAAGCAAAUAAUCAAAACUUUUAACAACGGAUCUCUUGGUUCUGGCAUCGAUGAAGAACGCAGCGAAAUGCGAUAAGUAAUGUGAAUUGCAGAAUUCAGUGAAUCAUCGAAUCUUUGAACGCACAUUGCGCCCGCCAGCAUUCUGGCGGGCAUGCCUGUUCGAGCGUCAUUUCAACCCUCAAGCUCUGCUUGGUGUUGGGGCCCUACAGCUGAUGUAGGCCCUCAAAGGUAGUGGCGGACCCUCCCGGAGCCUCCUUUGCGUAGUAACUUUACGUCUCGCACUGGGAUCCGGAGGGACUCNUUGCCGUAAAACCCCC
rnacentral:rRNA from 1 species